CACGCCUGGGAGUCGCUGGCCUGUUCUAAGUCCAAACUCCGAUUGCGGCAUUGGAUGUGUCCAUAGCGGGUGAAAGACCCGUUCGAGCAGGCCAGUGUUUGUUUACGCGAUUCCUAGAUGCGUGUGCUAUCGAGUCGGAUUGCUUGAGAAUGCAGUCCAAAGUGGGUGGUAAACUCCAUCCAAGGCUAAAUACUGGCACGAGUCCGAUAGUAGACAAGUACCGUGAGGGAAAGUUGAAAAGUACUCUGAAGAGAGAGUAAAUAGUACGUGAAACCGGUUGCAGAGAAUCAGGUGGAGUCAAGCUACAUGCUUGGUUGAUUGCCUUCCGAUCUGUUCGUGUCGGGACGUGAGGUGUGGCAACUUGGAAUAAGUUGGGCGUACUUGUGGGCUUCAAGUGGUUCUGGGUAGCUUGAUCGUCUUUCCUCUAUUUCCCCGAUCGGUUGGUGUAUUUUCCGCUGCUUA
rnacentral:rRNA from 1 species